rnacentral:rRNA from 1 species
CCUACGGGAGGCAGCAGUGAGGAAUAUUGGUCAAUGGUCGGGAGACUGAACCAGCCAAGCCGCGUGAGGGAUGAAGGUACAGAGUAUCGUAAACCUCUUUUGUCAGGGAACAAAGGCGGGGACGUGUCCCCGGAUGAGUGUACCUGAAGAAAAAGCAUCGGCUAACUCCGUGCCAGCAGCCGCGGUAAUACGGAGGAUGCGAGCGUUAUCCGGAUUUAUUGGGUUUAAAGGGUGCGCAGGCAGUCUGUUAAGUCAGCGGUCAAAGCCCGGGGCUCAACCCCGGCCCGCCGUUGAAACUGGCAGUCUCGAGUUGGAGAGAGGUAUGCGGAAUGCGCGGUGUAGCGGUGAAAUGCAUAGAUAUCGCGCAGAACUCCGAUUGCGAAGGCAGCAUGCCGGCUCCACACUGACGCUGAGGCACGAAGGCGUGGGUAGCGAACAGGAUUAGAUACCCUUGUAGUC